rnacentral:rRNA from 1 species
GUAGGGUGCGAGCGUUAAUCGGAAUUACUGGGCGUAAAGCGUGCGCAGGCGGUCCGCAAAGUCUGAUGUGAAAGCCCCGGGCUCAACCUGGGAACUGCAUUGGAAACUAACGGGCUCGAGUGUGGCAGAGGGGGGUGGAAUUCCACGUGUAGCAGUGAAAUGCGUAGAGAUGUGGAGGAACACCGAUGGCGAAGGCAGCCCCCUGGGCUAACACUGACGCUCAGGCACGAAAGCGUGGGGAGCAAACAGGAUUAGAUACCCUGGUAGUCCACGCCCUAAACGAUGUCAACUGGGUGUUGGGGGAGCGAUUCCUCAGUACCGUAGCUAACGCGUGAAGUUGACCGCCUGGGGAGUACGGCCGCAAGGUUA